rnacentral:rRNA from 1 species
UUAAGUCCCGCAACGAGCGCAACCCCUACGUUUAGUUGCUAACGCGUGAAGGCGAGCACUCUAGACGAACUGCCGUUGACAAAACGGAGGAAGGUGGGGAUGACGUCAAAUCAUCAUGCCCCUUAUGUUCUGGGCUACACACGUGCUACAAUGGCCGGUACAGACGGACGCAAAGCCGCGAGGUGGAGCAAAUCCUAGAAAGCCGGUCUCAGUUCGGAUUGCAGGCUGCAAUUCGCCUGCAUGAAGUCGGAAUCGCUAGUAAUCGCAGGUCAGCAUACUGCGGUGAAUACGUUCCCGGGCCUU